GCUGGUGUGACUCAGUGGUUAGAGUGUUGGCCUGCAUACCAAAGGGCCCAGGGUUCAAUUCCCGGUCAAGGGCA
rnacentral:tRNA from 1 species